ACCAGGUAUGGUGGCUCAUGUCUGUAAUCCCAGUGACUUGGGAGGCUGAGGCUGGUGGAUGGCGAGUUCAAAGCCAGCCUCAG
rnacentral:sRNA from 1 species